rnacentral:hammerhead_ribozyme from 1 species
AUCCAGCUGACGAGUCCCAAAUGGAACGAAACGCGCAUGCUAGAU